GCUCCGUUGGCCUAGUGGUUAGAGCAUUCGCCUCGGAUGCGGGAGAUCGUGGGUUCGAUUUACGGUCGAGCC